AUAUCUGCAAUGAGGCAUCUAGUAGGUCAAAGAAUUGUUCAGAAAGCUAGCGGUUAAUGUGAGCUAGUCAAUACUUUGGGUGAAUCCAGUGCUGAGCUUGGUGGCGAAAAGUCACCACGGUGAGCCGUUAAACUCAAUUAAGUGAAUGAUUUUUAAUCAUUAAAAUGGGUGGUACCGCGUGUAAACGUCCCGUAA
rnacentral:ncRNA from 1 species